rnacentral:RNase_P_RNA from 1 species
GUUUAAGGGUGGGCGGUUGCUGCUGACAUAGUCAAUUGCUGUGAAGGGAGAGGAAAGUCCGGGCUCCACGAAGAGAGGAUGCCAGUUAACGGCUGGCGGGGGUAUCUCCCCUAGGGAAAGUGCCACAGAAAAGAUACCGCCAAUACCCGCGGGCAUUGGUAAGGGUGAAAUGGUGAGGCAAAAGCUCACCGCACUUUGGGCAAUCAAAGUGGCAGGGCAAACCCCAUCCGGAGCAAGAUCGAAUAGGAACACUUAGGGAAAAUCCCUCUGCGGCUCUUCGCGCGGAAAAUGUUCGGGUUGAUUGCUUGAGGCUUACGGUAACGGAAGCCCUAGAGGAAUAACCGCCGCUGCAUACGCAGUACAGAACCCGGCUUAUAGCCCUUAAACUAAG